GCAUUACCGGCUAGCCGGCGGCGGGCGCUGCAGCCCCUACGUGAUUCUGCGGCUCACUCCCCUCGGAUAGUGUUUCCACCCGAGUUUUUCCCGGGAAGAGGCUCUCAAGACUAGCCAGUGCAGGAGGAGGAGUCGAACUCUGGAUAGCCUGUUUAUAAAGCCCUAACUGUGCCGAUGUUGACCGUUUUCUGAAACUCCUCCUCCAAAACCCACGCCAAACCACAAGAUGAAGGAAAUUCACACAUCAGGAUGCCAAAAACCAUGGAAGACUUCUGAUGUUCUGGGAGGGUUGACAAAGAUGGACCUUAAAUUCUAGGUCAGUACUAAUCUCUAGGAUCGAGCACUUGGAGAAAACAGCUACCUGGAAAUUCUUGCUUGUGUCUUAUGCUUGACUAAGUAAAAGGCCAUAUCCCAGAGAAUAGCCAUAGUGGGAAAUUAUCCAAGUAACCAACAAUAGGCCUCAAGAAUUUAGGCAUUCAUGGUUGAGACCCUGAAGAAAACAUUUUCUGCUGAGCAGAAGCAAUUUAAUAAUUGCCUCCCUUCAUUUCAGAAUCCAGAAGUGUCUGCAGCCAACCAAAGAGGGAAUGUUUGAUGGACAGAAGUUGGAAUGGAAGGAGAAAAUGGCUUAUUUUAGUUAAAAUGUUUUACUUUUGGAAAUUUUUUUAAAAACUUAUUUUCACAUGUCACAUAAAUACAUUGUUAGGACCCCUCCCAGGGCCAUAGAAGUGGCCUGCACAGGUGAGAAGCCCUGAAACUUAGACUUCAUUAGCUUCAUGAUAAAUCCUCCUCUACUUGAAUUCCUGUGCCAUUCUACCUCCUGCCCCAUUUCUUUUUUCCCCUUUAGAGUAAAACUCCUUGAAAAGAACUAUCAGUACUGCUGUCUACUUUCUCUUCUCCUAUUUAGUUUAGAAUCCCCAUCAUUCCACUUAAACUACUGUCAAAACAGUGAUUCCUAAUCCUCUUUGUAUUUCACCUGUCAACAGCAGGUUUGAUAUAGCUGAGUAUUUUUUAUUGAAACAUGUUCUUCCUAUGGCUUCUGGAACAUACCCCUUUCUGGUUCUUUUUCUUUACCUCACUGGUUACUCCUGGAUCUCCUUUGCUGGUUCUUCCUCUUCUUCCUGACAGCUAAACUUAAGUGUAACCUAAGGUGUAAUCCUGAAGCUAAGUUCUCCAAUCUCUCUCUUUUUUUCUUCUCAUCUACAUUUCCUCUCUGUCUUCACCCUGCCCCAUGGCUUUAUGAACCAUGUCUACGCUGAUCACUUUCAAAUUUAUAUAUAUCUAGUCCUUUAUUAUCUGAAUUCUAAACUUACAUAUUCAACUACCUAGUUCCAUAUUUACUUGAUUGCUUAAUUAAUCAUAACAUAGUCAAAAAACAACUUAUCGAGUUCCGGUCACCCACGCUGGUUCUCUUGGAUCUCAGUAAACUGCCGUUCUUUCAUUUGCACAAGCUAAAAUCCAUAAGUCAUCUUUGACUCCUCUGUCCUUUCACUCACUCCUUACCCUAUUAGCACAUUAUCUUGACAAAAUUUCUCUACAAUUUUCAUGUCAUCUUUUUUUUUUAAUUGCGCCAGCUUGGGUAUUGUAUAAUUCUUUGUGAUGUUAUUUAUUUAUGCUUGUUACCUGGGUAUUGUUUAGCCUGGAACCAGGGAAAGGGGUAGAGUCUGAAACAGAACUAUUUGUUCUGCUCUGCAUUUUCCUGCUUCCUCAAAAAGAAGACAAAAGGGAGUGGCAAUCAUUAUAACACUUUGCUGUCACUUUGUCAAAACAUAUUUGGUUUACUGCCAUGUUAGACCAGAUAAAGACAGGCAUAAAAGUAGUUGUGAUUUUACAUGUUCAGCCUUUAGGAUUUCUAUUUAUGUGCCACUCCCUAUCAACCCCAUUUACAAAUUGUGCUACUAUGGUUAUCUUUGUGGCUUACAAUGGUCCUAAAAGCAAAUUUUAUGCUAAUUAUUACCAUUAAAAUAAAAAUUUUUUGGCAGACAUCUGGUUUUAAAGUGGCAGUACAGAAGCAAGCUGGUUUCACUGUCCCCACAGAAAACCAAAAAUAUACAGAGCUGUGAUUUUCCCCAGCAACAGGCCAGAACUCAUAUAUGAGGAUGAGACAGAUCCUAGGGCCAUAAAGAAAAAAACUUCUUUGGAAAAAAACUCCAAGCAGAUGGUAAGAGAAUUGGACUUCCACAUCUGUAAUGUUCCCCCAGUCAUUCUGCCCAGCAACAAUUGUAUGAAAAGGAAAUGCUCAUUGGAGCAUUUUGGAUUUCAGAUUUUUGGAUUAGGAAUACUUACGUGGUAUGUAUUCUGCAAACAUUUAAAAACCUGAGAAAAAUAAAAAUCCAAAAUACUUAGGUUCCUA